rnacentral:rRNA from 1 species
AGUCACUGACAUUAGAUACCCGGGUAGUCCAGGGUGUAAACGCUGCAGACUUGGUGUUGGAGGUCCUUUGGGGGCAUUCAGUGCCGGAGAGAAGUUGUUAAGUCUGCUACUUGGGAGUACGUCCGCAAGGAUGAAACUUAAAGGAAUUGCGGGGGAGCACCGCAACGGGAGGAGCCUGCGGUUUAAUUGGACUCAACGCCGGAAAUCUCACCGGAUAGGACAGACAUAUGAUAGUCGGGCUGAAGACUCUACUUGAUGAUCUG